rnacentral:rRNA from 1 species
GACGAACGCUGGCGGCGUGCCUAAUACAUGCAAGUAGAACGCUGAAGAGAGGAGCUUGCUCUUCUUGGAUGAGUUGCGAACGGGUGAGUAACGCGUAGGUAACCUGCCUUGUAGCGGGGGAUAACUAUUGGAAACGAUAGCUAAUACCGCAUAACAAUGGAUGACCCAUGUCAUUUAUUUGAAAGGGGCAAAUGCUCCACUACAAGAGGGACCUGCGUUGUAUUAGCUAGUAGGUGAGGUAACGGCUCACCUAGGCGACGAUACAUAGCCGACCUGAGAGGGUGAUCGGCCACACUGGGACUGAGACACGGCCCAGACUCCUACGGGAGGCAGCAGUAGGGAAUCUUCGGCAAUGGGGGCAACCCUGACCGAGCAACGCCGCGUGAGUGAAGAAGGUUUUCGGAUCGUAAAGCUCUGUUGUAAGUCAAGAACGAGUGUGAGAGUGGAAAGUUCACACUGUGACGGUAGCUUACCAGAAAGGGACGGCUAACUACGUG